rnacentral:rRNA from 1 species
UGAGGAAUAUUGGUCAAUGGGCGGGAGCCUGAACCAGCCAAGUCGCGUGAGGGACGAAGGCCCUACGGGUUGUAAACCUCUUUUAUAAGGGAAUAAAGGACAUCACGUGUGAUGUUUUGCAUGUACCUUAUGAAUAAGCAUCGGCUAACUCCGUGCCAGCAGCCGCGGUAAUACGGAGGAUGCGAGCGUUAUCCGGAUUCAUUGGGUUUAAAGGGUGCGUAGGUGGCUUGUUAAGUCAGCGGUGAAAGUCAGUGGCUCAACCAUUGAAUUGCCGUUGAAACUGGCGAGCUUGAGUACGUACGGGGCAGGCGGAAUUCCUAGUGUAGCGGUGAAAUGCGUAGAUAUUAGGAGGAACACCAGUGGCGAAGGCGGCUUGCUGGACGACAACUGACGCUGAGGCGCGAAAG